GGCAAUGUGGCUUAGUGGUAGAGUACUUGCCUAGCAUGCAGGAAGCCCUGGGUUUGAUUCCUCAGUACCA
rnacentral:tRNA from 1 species